UACGUAGGGGGCGAGCGUUGUCCGGAAUCAUUGGGCGUAAAGCGCGUGUAGGCGGUCCGGUAAGUCCGCUGUGAAAGUCGGGGGGCUCAACCCUCGGAUGCCGGUGGAGUACUGUCGGGCUUGAGUACGGAAGAGGCGAGUGGAAUUCCUGGUGUAGCGGGUGAAAAUGCGCAGAUAUCAGGAGGAACACCAAUUGCGAAGGGCAGCUCCGCUGGGACGUUACUGACGCUGGAGACGCGAAAGCGUGGGGAGCAAACAGG
rnacentral:rRNA from 1 species